UGUGUGUGUGUGUGUGUGUGUGUGUGUACCGGGGGAGGGGGGAAAACGAGGAGGGACUGCAAAGACAUCCAUAUCCUCUGGGCUGGGACAGUGCCCCGGGCGAAGUGAAUGCUUCCAGCCACCCAGCCUCUUUCCCCUAACCCCCGCUGCUUUCACCCCCAGCGGCAACCUUUGAAUUGCAGUUGUGUUUACAAACACCUUUGCCAGCUCUUUUACGACCUGUCUCCACAGGAAGUGUGAAUCUGGGUUGGAAAAUCCGGUCAAUUUGACCCACCUACCCAACUUAAUCACCCGUCGUCAGGCGCUCUGUCCAAUUCUUCCCCAAGGUGAUAAUAGGCGCCCCUUUACUCAGAGCGCAAGGUGUGCCACCGUUGGCUUUUCGCCCAGUCAUCCGAUUCAGCCCUGCCAAGCACCCUUCAACGGCGUUCUGUUAUCAUUCCUGUGUUAUAAAUGAGGACACCAGGGCUCAGAGAGCUUAAGCAGCGUGUCCAGAGUCACACACAGCGAGAACCAGAAAGAACGGAGGGCACGAUCUCUCAGGCACGGGUUGCUGGGAGGCUUCGUGGAACCUGCCUAAGCUGGUGGCCAUCCCAGCUCUGCAGGGUGGUUGGUUGAGAAGGUGACCACCGUUGAGAUGUGCCAGAGGCAGGUUAUGAUUCUUCCCAGAUGACAAUGUGGCUGACUGGGUCAGGAAUCCUACCCAGGAAAGAUGCGGAGGUGACCUAAUUCUCAGACUUCCUCUGGACACUCCCUCUGACAGGUUAUGGGAACAAGAAGCCUACUGGAGCACGAAGCAAAUUCAUAGGAAGAAUCUGAACAUUAGGAUGGAAGUUCUAGUGCUCCAGUUCCAAGAGCAGAAGACCCAAGUGGGGGACUUUCUUCUCUUUGUCCUCCUGCAAACCCCUGUCCCCCCUUCACUCCCUUCUCCACCCCUCCCUUCAUCACUCCCUCUAGGUUUUCUCCCCCAAGUCUUCUCCUUCCACUGCUGCCCCGUCUCCCUUUCACUCUCACGCUUCAGGUCUGGAAUCUCCAUUAAGCACAAAGGGCCUCACGGGGUCUGUGUCUUUAGGGGUUAAAUCCUCCGGAGUUGGAGCAUUUAUGAAAUUAGGCCCCACAAUGGUUUAGGUAAGAGAAUGUUGUCCUAAAAAAUGAAGAAGCGGCCAGGCACGGUGGCUCACGCCUGUAA